GAUGAACGCUGGCGGCGUGCCUAAUACAUGCAAGUCGAGCGCAGCGGGGACGGGUGAGUAACACGUGGAUAACCUCCUAUAAGACCCGGACAACGUAGGGAAACCGGAGCUAAACCGGAUCCUUAUAGAUGGAUCCUCGCUGAAAUAGCUAGUUGUGAAGUUAACGGCUUACCAAGGCAACGAUGCAUAGCCGACCUGUGGGGGUGAUCGGCCACACUGGAACGGAGACACGGUCCAUACUCCUACGGGAGGCAGCAGUAGGGAGUCUUCCGCAAGGGGCGAAAGCCUGACGGAGCAACGCCGCGUGAGUGAUGAAGGUCUUCGGAUCGUAAAACUCUGUUAUUAGGGAAGCGGUACCUAAACAGAAAGCCACGGCUAACUACGUGCCAGCAGCCGCGGUAAUAC
rnacentral:rRNA from 1 species